rnacentral:sRNA from 1 species
AUGGAGCUGAAGCAGGGUCUGGAGGCCCCCUCUGGGGCCAGCCCAAUCGUGGGAAGGCCCCCAGGGGUUCCCAGGGAGGGAGACUCAGCGCAGAUGAUGUUGAACAGCCUUUACCGCAGCCCUUUGAACAACCACAACUGUCCCGGGCACUCCGCUGAUUGGCAGCUGUGCCUCUAACAUGCCCCCGGCCAGCCUAGGGGGCCGGGAACCAAGCCCUCUGUUGGCAUCUCUGUUUUGUGGGUCCCCAUUCUAGAAUUAUUUCCGCGAUGCCUGGAACAUCUUCGACUUUGUGACUGUUCUGGGCAGCAUCACCGAUAUCCUCGUGACUGAGUUUGGGAAUCCGAAUAACUUCAUCAACCUGAGCUUUCUCCGCCUCUUCCGAGCUGCCCGGCUCAUCAAACUUCUCCGUCAGGGUUACACCAUCCGCAUUCUUCUCUGGACCUUUGUGCAGUCCUUCAAGGCCCUGCCUUAUGUCUGUCUGCUGAUCGCCAUGCUCUUCUUCAUCUAUGCCAUCAUUGGGAUGCAGGUGUUUGGUAACAUUGGCAUCGACGUGGAGGACGAGGACAGUGAUGAAGAUGAGUUCCAAAUCACUGAGCACAAUAACUUCCGGACCUUCUUCCAGGCCCUCAUGCUUCUCUUCCGGAGUGCCACCGGGGAAGCUUGGCACAACAUCAUGCUUUCCUGCCUCAGCGGGAAACCGUGUGAUAAGAACUCUGGCAUCCUGACUCGAGAGUGUGGCAAUGAAUUUGCUUAUUUUUACUUCGUUUCCUUCAUCUUCCUCUGCUCGUUUCUGAUGCUGAAUCUCUUUGUCGCCGUCAUCAUGGACAACUUUGAGUACCUCACCCGAGACUCCUCCAUCCUGGGCCCCCAC